GUGACAAGAAAUAACAAUACAGGACUUUUUGGUUUUGUAAUUGGAAUGAGUUAAGUAUAAACCCCUUUACAAGUAUCAAUUGGAGGGCAAGUCUGGUGCCAGCAGCCGCGGUAAUUCCAGCUCCAAUAGCGUAUAUUAAAGUUGUUGCAGUUAAAAAGCUCGUAGUUGGAUUUCUGUUAAUAAUUUAUAUAAAAUAUUUUGAAUAUUUAUAUAACAUUAACAUAAUUCAUAUUACUAUAUUUUUUAGUAUAUGAAAUUUUACUUUGAGAAAAUUAGAGUGCUUAAAGCAGGCAUAUGCCUUGAAUACUCCAGCAUGGAAUAAUAUUAAAGAUUUUUAUCUUUCUUAUUGGUUCUAAGAUAAGAAUAAUGAUUAAUAGGGACAGUUGGGGGCAUUUGUAUUUAACAGUCAGAGGUGAAAUUCUUAGAUUUGUUAAAGACAAACUAAUG
rnacentral:rRNA from 1 species